UCUGCCCCUGUAGGCGUUGCUGCGCGACUGCAGGUGUCGUGUUUGUGUCAGCAGGUGGCAGAGAGGAAUAAGGCUUUGUCUACGUUCAGUGCCCUGACAAAGUGGGCGCUCUGGAUGAUUACUAGCCUGACAAC